AGAAGCUUGCUUCUCUGAUGUUAGCGGCGGACGGGUGAGUAACACGUGGAUAACCUACCUAUGAGACUGGGAUAACUUCGGGAAACCGUAGCUAAUACCGGAUAAUAUUUUGAACCGCAUGGUUCAAAAGUGAAAGACGGUCUUGCUGUCACUUAUAGAUGGAUCCGCGCUGCAUUAGCUAGUUGGUAAGGUAACGGCUUACCAAGGCAACGAUGCAUAGCCGACCUGAGAGGGUGAUCGGCCACACUGGAACUGAGACACGGUCCAGACUCCUACGGGAGGCAGCAGUAGGGAAUCUUCCGCAAUGGGCGAAAGCCUGACGGAGCAACGCCGCGUGAGUGAUGAAGGUCUUCGGAUCGUAAAACUCUGUUAUUAGGGAAGAACAUAUGUGUAAGUAACUGUGCACAUCUUGACGGUACCUAAUCAGAAAGCCACGGCUAACUACGUGCCAGCAGCCGCGGUAAUACGUAGGUGGCAAGCGUUAUCCGGAAUUAUUGGGCGUAAAGCGCGCGUAGGCGGUUUUUUAAGUCUGAUGUGAAAGCCCACGGCUCAACCGUGGAGGGUCAUUGGAACUGGAAAACUUGAGUGCAGAAGAGGAAAGUGGAAUUCCAUGUGUAGCGGUGAAAUGCGCAGAGAUAUGGAGGAACACCAGUGGCGAAGGCGACUUUCUGGUCUGUAACUGACGCUGAUGUGCGAAAGCGUGGGGAUCAAACAGGAUUA
rnacentral:rRNA from 1 species